rnacentral:lncRNA from 1 species
UGUAACUUGUAAUAUUAUUUAAAGCUGUUGCUUCUAAAUGUAAGAUUAUAUUUUAGUCAGAUUUUGUUUUCAUAGAACUCAUUUGGCAUUACAGAAGUAAAGUAAAAAGGAAAAAAGAAAUAGGUAAAUUAAUCUCAUCCAGAAAAAUCAGCAAUAAAAUCAAAGAAGCCAACCUUGUGGAUAAUAUUCGGCUCUUGAUGUGCUCUUCUGGGGGGCUCCUGGGAUACCAUUCCGUCAGCUACCUCAAUCCCUUUUAAAUGCUCUUCUCCCACUUUUACAGAUGUCUGACCACCUCCUCUCACCAGAUGAUGCAGAGUGAAACUUCCUUCUUUCAGUAUUCUACCUCUUCAGCUACGAUAAAAUUAAUUUGGACCACUUUGGAGAGAAUAUUCAAGGAAGGAGUGCAACGGGGCUGCAGCUAAACCAAAUCAGCUUUCAAAAGAUGUUUCUUUAUGUUAUGUUUGCUAAUGGACGUUUUUCCUUAGAAGACUGAUAAAAUAACCAUAUUGUGAACCUGCAAUUCACCUGUGUGAAUGUUUGUAAUCAUUUGUCUAACAUAGGAAUUCCAGUAUGUUCUUUUGAAGAAAAAAAAACUCAAGCAAAUAAAGAGAGGAAGC